UACGUAUGGAGCAAGCGUUAUCCGGAAUUACUGGGUGUAAAGGGAGCGUAGACGGGAUGUCAAGUCAGAAGUGAAAAUUAUGGGCCCAACUCAUAACCUGCUUUUGAAACUGAUAUUCUUGAGUGAAGUAGAGGCAAGCGGAAUUCCUAGUGUAGCGGUGAAAUGCGUAGAUAUUAGGAGGAACACCAGUGGCGAAGGCGGCUUGCUGGGCUUUUACUGACGCUGAGGCACGAAAGCGUGGGUAUCGAACAGG
rnacentral:rRNA from 1 species